UAGCUGCAGUAUUUUGACUGUACAAAGGUAGCAUAAUCAUUAGUCUUUUAAUUGAAGGCUUGUAUGAAUGGCUUAACGGAAGUAAUACUUUUAUAUUUAUAUGAAUAUUGAAUUUAGUUUUUUAGUUAAAAAACUAAAUUCCAUUAAAGGGACGAUAAGACCCUAUAGAAUUUUAUAGAAUAAGAUGAAUAAUAUUUAUUUUAUUGGGGUGAUAAGUAAUAAACUAUUCUAGUUAACUCAUUUUUUAUGAUUAAAUGAUCCUAAAUUUUAGAUAGAAAGAUAAAAUUACCUUAGGGAUAACAGCAUAAUUUUUUUUGGAAGAUCUUAUUUAUAAAGAAGAUUAUGACCUCGAUGUUGAAUUAUGAGUACACUUAGGGGUAGAUUUUUAAGUGAUUAAGUCUGUUCGACUAUUUAAAUUUUACAUGAUUUGAGUUCAAACCGGCGUGAGCCAGGUUGGUUUCUAUCUUUUAAAUUU
rnacentral:rRNA from 1 species